rnacentral:lncRNA from 1 species
CAGGCUGACAUCGUGUCAAGAAGUUGACGCCCUAUCACGGAUGGCGUCAGAGAGGCUUUAGUUGCCUUCAGGUUCUGUCUUAGGCUGACGAUGUAGCUGACGCCGCGUCACCGAUCAAACGGCGUAUCACCAGCGUCGUCAGAUUUCUUCUUCAAACUCAAUUCUCUGGUUUAGGCUGACGCCCUUCAUAACGCCUUAUCACCAACUUGACGCCUUAUCACCAACGUCUUCAGAGCUUCUUCUCAGGCUUCA